GGCUCGGUGGCGUAGUUGGCUGGAGCGCGCGAUGGCAACUGUGAAUCGUAGCUCCGGGUUCAAAUCCCGCACUGGCUGUGUCG